UGGCGACCGGCGCACGGGUGAGUAACACGUAUCCAACCUGCCGAUAACUCGGGGAUAGCCUUUCGAAAGAAAGAUUAAUAUCCGAUAGGAUAUCAAGAUCGCAUGAUCUUGAUAUUAAAGAAUUUCGGUUAUCGAUGGGGAUGCGUCCCAUUAGUUAGUUGGCGGGGUAACGGCCCACCAAGACGACGAUGGAUAGGGGUUCUGAGAGGAAGGUCCCCCACAUUGGAACUGAGACACGGUCCAAACUCCUACGGAAGGCAGCAG
rnacentral:rRNA from 1 species